AUGGAGGUUGCUGUAAAGAAUACCAUGCCGGACACCGCGCAUCGAUGGUGCAAGUGGCAUGUUCUAAUGAAGGCUAAAGAGUUGCUCGGAGCGCUAUACACGAAAAAGAAUGCGUUCCGCUCAGAGUUCCACAAAGUGGUCAAUGACAUGAUAACAAUUGAAGAGUUUGAGGAGGCGUGGCACUUUCUCAUAGAGAAGUACAACCUUAGGACACAUCCAUACAUGACCCGGAUAUACGAGAUAAGGCACAAGUGGGCGAAGCCAUAUUUCAAAGGUGUUUUCUGUGCAAAGAUGACGAGCACGCAGAGGAGUGAGAGCGCUAACCACAUGCUGAAGAACUAUGUACCACCCGGGUGCCCAAUGCAUUUAUUCGUGAAGAAAUACAUGAGACUUCAGUUCGACCAUGAGUCAGAAGAGAAUUACGAGGAGAAGAGAACCAGAAUUGUAAGGUCCUUGACUUAA
rnacentral:rRNA from 1 species